CCGGCGGGGUCCGCCGCGGCCCGCGGGUCCCCGAGUCCUGACUCCUGGCGCGGGGGCCACCCGUUUGGCGGACAGAGCUGGGAACCCCGAACCGCAGGGACACGUCUAGCCUCUGACUCGAAAGGGGGAAGUGAUCAGACCUGGUUCUGCUCGGCGGGAGGUUAGCAGAGGAACAAAGGUCAGAUGCUGGGAAGGCUGGCACGGCUAUCCUACAUGUUUUUAGUAAAGAAAGCUGCCUUUGACAGUAAAGGAGAGCUGCAUCUGAGAAUCAUAGGCCCAUCCCGCUGAUAAAGCCCAGAGCCACCUGCCCACCCCUAUGAUAUCAGAGGAUCUGAACCACCAGGACUGCUGCCAAGAUGCCUCCAGGGAAAAUACCAGCAAGCAUUGCACUCCCUGUCCAACCUGAGUAACCAGAGAAAAGCAGGGGGAGACCUGAGACAGACAGAAAGCAGGAAGCAGUGUGACCACAGAGGCAGAGGCAGAAGUGAAGCCACCACAGAGCAAGGGAUGGUGACAGUCACCAGAACCUGGAAGAGGUGAAGAAGGACUUCUCCCCCAGAGCCUGCAGAGGGGUGUGGCCCUCACACUUCAAUUGCAGUCUUCUGGAAUCCGGAACUGUGAGAAAAUAAAUUCUUUUUGUUUUAAGC